UAGCCACACCUGCCCCGGGAGGCGGGGCGGAGCCAAAGGCGGGACGAGGAGCGCGACCCCGCCCCCACACCGCAGCCCCGCCCCUCUGCGGCCCCGCCAUACUCCUCUCUGGCGCUUCGCGGCCGGCGCGGGCAGGGUAGCGGACUCCAGCCACAGCGGUUUUUGUUUCCACCGGGCCGCCAGAGCUAAGGACCGGCUUCCGGCAGCUUGUGCCGCGUGUGCUCUUCGGCUUCCGGCCGGUUGUGGAUCUCCGCCGCGGACAUGGGGAAAGUGAGGGGCCUGCGGUCCCGGGUGCACAAGGCUGCCGUGAGGCCCACGGGGGAGGCCGCGCCCGGCCCCACGCCCCCCGCCCGGGAGGCGGCCUCUCUGCAGGCCUCGGCUGGCGGAGUCGGGGGGAAGGAGUGGGCCUUCAUGAAUGCCAGUGUGUUUGCCGGGACCACGAUAGACCCCAGCGCCUUGGUGCAGAAGCUGGACGUGGACGCGAGGAGCAGCGCCUCCGUCAGGAGAGGUGCCAAGGCCAAGGCUGUUUUGCCCAAGAAGGAGAAGCUGAAGCUGCGGCGCGAGAGGUGGCUGCAGAAGAUCGAAGCCACAAGGCUGGCGGAGCAGGAGCGCAAGGCGGAGCAGAGGCGCAGGGCCACGGUGGUGGUAGGGGACCUGCAGCCCCUGCGGGACGCCCUGCCUGAGCUGCUGGAGCUGCAGAUGGGUGGUCAGCGGCUCAUCCCGGGCAUUUCCUGCUCCUGUCCGAGAGUCAGCGUUUCUCCAGGGAGCCCGGCUCCCUUCCGUUGGAAGUGGUGUGAGAAACCAAGAUCUGGGCGCUGGUGUGCCGACCGCGGCUGCGGUGUGCUUCUUCUAGGCCCUCUCAGCUGACAGCAGGGACAUGCGUGUGUGUCCUGACCCAGGGCAGGGUUUCCUGGAGCUGAGAGAAGGCGGUGCCCUUCAGGGCAGCUCACGCCAGGGGUGCCUGUUACAAGCAGCAGGUUACACGAAUGGCCCAGCUGACAGACUCCCCAGGACGUCGGUCCUCCGCGGCCCGAAGGUCGUAGCGACGAAGGUGGAGGGCCUCACGCACGGAGCCUGGACCUGACGUCAGCAGGGCUCACUCGGCCCCUGGGACCUCCGGGAGCGGCCAUCAGGCCCCGGGCAGCCCAGCUGAGCCGGAUGAGCGCGGCGCAGAGGUUCCAGCUCCUUGAGGAGGAAAGGACGCGGUUUCGGGAGCUGCUGGCCAGCCCGGCCUACAGAGCCA